rnacentral:lncRNA from 1 species
ACGUGACAACACAUCAUGGCAUUUUUUUAAUUAGUACAAAUUACAGGUUAUAACUUUUUUAAUGUUUCUCUAUUAAUAUAUAGAGGAUAUGAGUGAAGCUGUUAUUAAUUGUAAACAUUGGAUUAUUAGGUCAAAAAUUGAAAGGAAAUAUUACAAAAGAAAAAAAUAUAAGAAAAUGUAAUUUCAUACUCAAAAUCAAU